rfam:Ictidomys tridecemlineatus contig061531, whole genome shotgun sequence.
GGGGGUAUGAUUCAGUGGUAAAGCACUUGCCUAGCAGGCAAGGGCCCUGGGUUUGAUCCCCAGUAACUACA